CCCCUCCCUUUUGGACUGCUGGACGCGCAAGACGUGGCAGCGCUGGGGCUCCGAGGGCGGGGCGGAGUCUGGAGUCUUCGCGGUGCGCCUAGACUCCCCCCGAUCGCCGCUUCUAGUCCGACUGCUUUCGCAGGCGCUCGGGCAAAAUCGGGAGCGGUGACCGACGGCUAGUAAAGCUCGGGAAGGUCAAAUAGGACGAUUACAAUUUAUUAACGUGAAGGCAUCAGCCAUAUCUCAGGUAGCAGGCUUGAUUAUGUCUUUUCUUUUUAAUGUUUUGUUUCUGAAUUAGAAGAGUUUUCUCGAACCUGGAAGUACAUUGACUGUUCCUGUGGGAUUGUCACUAAAAUUGUUGCAGAAAAGAACAACACAGCAAACCAGAGUGCUCUCCCUUGAAAGGCCUGCUUACCUUUUUGGUCCUCGGCUGCCAUCUGGGAACUUAGAUGUCAGCAAGGUUCCUUUCCCUCUCACUGACUUCCGGUUCUCUCUUACUUUGAAACAUGUACGUCGAUCUUUGUAUUCAUCACACUUCUUCACACAAGAAGCCCUCAACACAGUGGACGAGUAUAGUUCGUAACGAAGCAGGAUUGUUACCAAAAAAAUAUCCUGCCGAAACAAGCAGGAGAGAUGCUUUGAAGCCUACGUUGGCGACUUUUGCAGAUGGGGUAUAGAGUGGUCAUAGUGUCUCAAAUGUCGCUCAACGUUGCUGAGACACUUAAGCAAAACUUUUGGUUGUGUUUCACCAGAAGUCUGUUCGAGCCCAGCCUUGCUUUCAGACAUCUAACCCUGCACUUUGUUCUCCUGGUUUUCUGUACUUAUUGUUUUGUCUUUUGUUUUUGUCUUUUGUCUUUUAUGUCUUUGUCAAAAUUAAAAAAUAAACCUGCAAUUUCUCACUAAAAAAAAAAAAAGAUUGACAAAGUCAACUACAGAAAAAUAGAAAAGUUUUAUAUGGCAAAACAGCACAGACACAAGAACGAUGACACCAUAAACUCAGCAGAUGGCAAGUUGGGGGAAAAUAUGCAUAAUUGCAUCCCAAGUGAGAGAUUAAUAUGAAAAAGACUAACUGUUGUUAGAAAAUAGACAAAGAAUAGUACCAGACAAUUGGCAGGGAAAUAUAGAUGGGUCUUUAAGGAUGAUAAAUAAUGGAGGUAUAAGAGAUAUUCUAGCGUAUAUAGAUAUGGGAAAUAACAGAAGGUAAGACACUUAAAACUCACUGAAAUGCUAUUUUCACCCAUUAGAUUGGCAGAAGUGCACCUGUUUACUGGUGGCAAGGCUAUUUUAAGACUAGUUGAGGAAGGCCCCACUAAGGCGCCAUUGGGACAGAACCUGAGGACAUGGCGGGGAGGGUGAAAUGUUGCCAGGCUGAUAGCAGAGGCCCUGAGGCAGGACUGUGCUCGGAAGGUUCCAGGAACAGCUGGGAGACCAGUGUAGCUGAGCAAGGUAACAAGGGAAAGAACGGCAGGAGGUGAGGUGAGAGAAUGUGUGGGGUAGGUAGUUAAGAGGGUUCUGAGCCUUCACCUUACCUGCAGGCUAACGAGGUAGCCCGGCACAUUUUGGGGGUUAUUGGCACAGACACAGGCUUUCAUUACCUCCAGCUUAGCAAGUAGUAUGAGCUUCACGUUUGUGUCUUCUCUACUCGCCCCUGCUAGAUCCUUGGGAGUUGAUGAGAGAAACAAAGGCAAGAAAAAUGCAGUUUAAAGUACAUUCCCUUACAGCCUGCA